rnacentral:rRNA from 1 species
GGUUAAGCGACUAAGCGUACACGGUGGAUGCCCUGGCAGUCAGAGGCGAUGAAGGACGUGCUAAUCUGCGAAAAGCGUCGGUAAGGUGAUAUGAACCGUUAUAGCCGGCGAUGUCCGAAUGGGGAAAMCCAGUGUGAUUCGUCACACUAUCGUUAACUGAAU